GGCCGGUUAGCUCAGUCAGUUGAGCGUGGCGCUAACAGCGCCAAGGUCGCGGGUUCGAUUCCCGCUCGGUCC
rfam:Apaloderma vittatum contig68561, whole genome shotgun sequence.